GGGGCUGAUCGGUUUCGACUUGGGACGCUAGUUCCAGGGGAAGCGGGUCGAGGAGCCAGCGUCAUCUCGUAAACGAUCGCUGGGAACCAAUAACUGCCAACACCAAGCGCAGUUCGUUCGCUCUCGCCGCCUGACGCGGUGAUCGGACCGUCCAACCGGGUGCCCGUCUCCGACCCGGACCUGGGCGUCGACUAGGAGACUUGCUGUUCAUCUGUCGUCAGGACGGAUGACCGGGACUCAAACCUGACUGGGCCUGUCGGUGAGCUGUCCGUGGCAGCACCCGGGCCGAGCAACACGUGAGCACGGACUACACCCGUAGAAGCCCUGGAUCGGUGCUCGAGGACCGGGGUUCGAUUCCCCGCAGCUCCACGC
rnacentral:tmRNA from 1 species